rnacentral:rRNA from 1 species
UACUGGAAACGGUGGCUAAUACCGCAUAACGUCGCAAGACCAAAGAGGGGGACCUUCGGGCCUCUUGCCAUCAGAUGUGCCCAGAUGGGAUUAGCUUGUUGGUGAGGUAACGGCUCACCAAGGCGACGAUCCCUAGCUGGUCUGAGAGGAUGACCAGCCACACUGGAACUGAGACACGGUCCAGACUCCUACGGGAGGCAGCAGUGGGGAAUAUUGCACAAUGGGCGCAAGCCUGAUGCAGCCAUGCCGCGUGUAUGAAGAAGGCCUUCGGGUUGUAAAGUACUUUCAGCGGGGAGGAAGGUGUUGUGGUUAAUAACCGCAGCAAUUGACGUUACCCGCAGAAGAAGCACCGGCUAACUCCGUGCCAGCAGCCGCGGUAAUACGGAGGGUGCAAGCGUUAAUCGGAAUUACUGGGCGUAAAGCGCACGCAGGCGGUCUGUCAAGUCGGAUGUGAAAUCCCCGGGCUCAACCUGGGAACUGCAUUCGAAACUGGCAGGCUUGAGUCUUGUAGAGGGGGGUAGAAUUCCAGGUGUAGCGGUGAAAUGCGUAGAGAUCUGGAGGAAUACCGGUGGCGAAGGCGGCCCCCUGGACAAAGACUGACGCUCAGGUGCGAAAGCGUGGGGAGCAAACAGGAUUAGAUACCCUGGUAGUCCACGCCGUAAACGAUGUCUACUUGGAGGUUGUGCCCUUGAGGCGUGGCUUCCGGAGCUAACGCGUUAAGUAGACCGCCUGGGGAGUACGGCCGCAAGGUUAAAACUCAAAUGAAUUGACGGGGGCCCGCACAAGCGGUGGAGCAUGUGGUUUAAUUCGAUGCAACGCGAAGAACCUUACCUGGUCUUGACAUCCACAGAAGAAUCCAGAGAUGGAUUGGUGCCUUCGGGAACUGUGAGACAGGUGCUGCAUGGCUGUCGUCAGCUCGUGUUGUGAAAUGUUGGGUUAAGUCCCGCAACGAGCGCAACCCUUAUCCUUUGUUGCCAGCGAUUAGG